UGUGUUUUCUUGAGAAAACUUUGAAGAGGGUUUGGAGAUUGACGGAUGAAAUUGAAGCACUGAUAGAGAUUAAAAAUGGUUUUGUAGAGGGUUUGGUACUUAGAUGCAACAUAGGACUGAAAAAAAUGAUAAACUUUGACAAUGGAGGAUGACAAUGGAGGAUGAUAAUGGAGAGAAGAAGUUGAACCAGAGAAAUCGGUAAAGGGGAAAACUGAUCGGUUUUGGAAAAAAGAGAAAAAUACUUGGUAAAUAAACGUGGGGGUAAUUAAAAAGGGUAAAAUACGGUUGGAAGAAAGAGAAAAAAGUGGGGAAAAAAAAUAUGAAAAGAUUUUGUUCCACAAAUCANNNNNNNNNNNNNNNNNNNNNNNNNNNNNNNNNNNNNNNNAGAUAUGGAAAUAUUUUGUUCCACAAAUCAAGCCCCUAAUAAAUCAUUGAUAAUUAAAUCUUAAAAGUAAAUUUUGGUACAUAAAUUGAAACAUGGUAUGCUUAAAUGUAAUAAAUACUAACCUUAAACAUGAGUGGUUAUAAGGUUUGUUAUAUGGAAUGUAUAUAUAAAAAUCCCUUUUUUCAAUAAGCAGGAAAACACAAAUAGGCUCAAACGUGAAGCCCAAAAAUCGAGACGUACCCAGCAGAGGAAACUUGGCACAACUGGGCCAAUACUAUUAUAACGAAAAUACAAUGCUUUAAGCACUAGUCGUUGCAGGAAAACCACAUUGUAACGAAAAUUCAGAAUAUCGACAACCAAUUAUAAACAAUUUGUUGAGACUAUUUCAUCAUUUUAAACCAUCCUAUCAAAUUCCCAGCAAAAGAAAGCAAUUUCAAAGUUUCAGAUAGGUUUUAUUUACCUGCCGAGUUCUGAUUUCAUGCUAACAUACUUAAGCAAAUCAUAUGAUUUAGGCUUGCAAUAGAAAAACCAAAUGAAAAGAAGUGAUCUAAAUCUGAGAAUUCCAUAAGUCAAGUUCAUGUUUCAUUUAAGAUUUUAUUAAACUCCAAGAUGUUCAUAUGUGAGAAAGGCAGGAUCGUAUGGGAAAAACUGAAACCGUUAAAAUAUACCUCAAUUUGCUCGCAAGCAAAUCUAAAGAAACGAUUAAGGGGGAAUAAAAUUAGACCAAAAUUGCUGAACCUACAAGAUGAGUAAACCAAACUAAUAAGCAUCCUAUCCAUAACUAUAAAACACUUUCAAAGACCAGCUAGCCUCGUCAGCAAGCUUAAUAGUCACCAUCCUCAAUUACACAUGUUAUGCUAGAAUGAAAAUUCUUGAAUCAACCAUAGUCAUAUAAAAUCUCAACUCCAAAUCUCAGAACAAGAAGGUAAUACAAAUUACUACACUUAAGAAGCUAGACUAGAAGGUCACCAAACCAAAAAUACAGUAAGAUCACAUAUGAGUAACAAGGAAUUAACAUUUGUCAACUUCUUCAACUUGAAUUAAAUAAUUCAACACCACAGCUUAGCCAAAAACUUCAUUUCCAUUCAUGGUAUGAAGAGAGUAGAUGGAUACAACAUUCAAAACAGAAGGAAAAGAAGUGAUUAAGGAUCAAAACUUUAGUCUAUAGUAGCAAUAAUUGCAACAAACAAUAGAACAGUGCACAACAAACUUCAAUUUUUUGACUCAGAUCCACACUUUGGGAAUCGAGAUUUGAAUUACUCUAUUGAACCUUGAAAUUCUGAUUUGUCAUAGUAAUUUAGGACUCCAAAAACCAAGCAAGCUCCAAAAAUUUUUUAGCCUCUUUUCACUUGAGAGAAUACUUAGCCAUUUCUAUUUUUUUUCCAGAAU
rnacentral:lncRNA from 1 species